GCUUCAGAUACUUGAGAGCAAAAUCAGAAGGAACAUACUGCACAAUGGAGAAGAGAUCAAAUGAAGUGGCAAUAUAAAUAACUCAACAUUUACUUUAAGGUAAAAUCCUCACCGCAUAUUUUCUGAUAGUAAUUUUGGAACAAAAAUAAGGAUUAUUUGUGUUGAAUUCCUUGGCAGCGUCCUCUGCUCUUGUCGAAGCAUCUUUAGACAAGCUUUUGGCCUUUUUCCCACAACUCUCACUUGUUUCAACCUUGGACCUUUUCCUAGGAUUAUGAUA
rnacentral:lncRNA from 1 species